GUCUUUUUGAAAAUAAUAUAAAGUCUAAUCUGCCCCCUGAUGUUUAUUAAAGGGCUGCAGUAUUUUGACUGUACAAAGGUAGCAUAAUCAAUAGUCUUUUAAUUGGUGACUUGUAUGAAAGAUUGGAUGAAAUAUAAACUGUCUCUAUUUAAUUUAUAAAAUUUAAUUUUUUAGUUAAAAAGCUAAAAUAAUUUUAAAAGACGAGAAGACCCUAUAGAGUUUUAUAAUUUAAUUAAUUAUUAUAAAUAUAUAAACUCAAAAUUUAAAAUUAAUUGAAUUAUUUUGUUGGGGUGAUAGAAAAAUUAAAAUAACUUUUUUUAAAAAAAAAUUAACAUUAAUUUAUGAUUAAAUGAUCCAUUAAUAGUGAUUAAAAGAAAAAAUUACCUUAGGGAUAACAGCGUAAUUUUUUUUUUUAGUUCUUAUAAGAAAAAAAGUUUGCGACCUCGAUGUUGGAUUAAGAUAAAAUUUAAAUGCAAAAGUUUAAAAUUUUUGAUCUGUUCGAUCAUUAAAA
rnacentral:rRNA from 1 species